UACGUAGGGGGCAAGCGUUGUCCGGAAUCAUUGGGCGUAAAGCGCGUGUAGGCGGUUCGGUAAGUCGGCUGUGAAAGUCCAGGGCUCAACCCUGGGAUGCCGGUCGAUGCUGCCGGACUAGAGUUCGGAAGAGGCGAGUGGAAUUCCCGGUGUAGCGGUGAAAUGCGCAGAUAUCGGGAGGAACACCAAUGGCGAAGGCAGCUCGCUGGGACGUUACUGACGCUGAGACGCGAAAGCGUGGGGAGCAAACAGG
rnacentral:rRNA from 1 species